rnacentral:lncRNA from 1 species
UUGGAUAAAGGAAAAUAUUUAACUGUAAAACCUCUAUAUUUUAUUGAGAACCUACGGAGUUUGUGUUACUUUAUAAAUUAUGAAGCCUCAUUUUACUCAAAACUCAUAUUUUUAUCCUUUUUUUUUUUUUUUUUAUCAAAGAAGACUUUCAUUAGAAAAAAUUCAAUAAUACACACUAAACCCAAAAGGGCACUGAAAUGAACAUACUGAAAAAGCAAAACUAAAGCGGACAAACUUCGCAACAACAACUACUAUAGCCCACAUCACCACCAUAUGCUUUUUGUCUACCCAUAUUUUCUAUUUUGCGCCCCCAGGUUCUAGAUGUCUAAGGUCGAGACCACCACGUCAAGGCAUCAUCAUUGUUCGCACUGUAAGCUCGCAACGUGGCAACUUUCCUUUAAAUAGGCUAUGAGGUGGAGGAGUGAGGAACGUUGUAAACAAGAUAUGUAGUAAAAAGAGAAUAAGUAUGUCAAAUUUAAGGCCACCAUCUCAAAACUUUGAUUUCAUUUAUUCUCAAGUAUUUUUCAAUAUCAAAUCAAUUACACAAUUAAUUGAGAGACUAAGUUAUUCUUCUGAAGAAGGAGAAGUUGCAGCAUAGAGAUAUUGUGAGAACCUCUUAAUGCUUGACCUCGGUAUAGCUUUUUAACUUUUGAGGCACUUAAAAAGAUAUUACAAAUGGAAUUAUAAAGAGGAGAAGAGAACUCUUUGACAAAAGGGUGUUUUUCCGUGUUUUUAGGUGUGAAACGUGUUUUCACUAGUAAACCUUUCUUUUAUUGAAACAUUGAGUCCAAAUUUCUGCACUCUUGGUCAAAGCAACCGUCUUGUUUAAUUUGGCAAGAGGGCCCGAUAGAACUUUGUUCACUAAUGCAAUGUGGCACGAUUGACCCAUUAAUACAAGCUCAGCGCAACAACCAUCACUAAUAGACCAUUUCUUCAUGAUUGUAACGACUAUUUCUUUUCCACACCCGUCAUGAAGCAUUGAUUUGCAUUCCUCUAGGAACUUCAAAUUUGAUGGGGCAGGUGCUAGGGUUGCAAAUCCUGGCAAAAUCAUCAUUGUUGCAAUCACGAAAAUCCAGA